CAACCUGGGCCACUGAAGUCGACCCCCAAAAAGCAUGCCAGUUGUUCAGAGAAGAUUUACUGAACCGUUACUCUGAAAGUCCAUGCCUCUCUUUAUCACUCGACAUGUUUGAUGCAGAAGAAGAACAGGACAGUGCAUUCAUUUCAUUCUAUAAGCAGAAUAAUGUGAACUGGGCAGCUCCAUUCAAGUGCAGGCUGAGAGGAGAUGCAGCAGUGGGUGAUGGUGUCAACAGACAUGUUUUGUCAAUGGCCAUGCAGAAAUUGAAAACUGGCUUCAGAAUAAAUUUAGGCUCUGCUGCUCCUACAACCCUUUUUGAGGGGGAGAAAGAACAUCGGAUUCCCUCUGCAGCUGCUGUCCUGCGGGAAAGCAACCUAUUUGAGAUGGCAGGUCAU